AGUAAAGCUUGCUCGCGAUGGAGGCACCGCGGUUCUCUAUAAGACCGCGUCACCAUUUAUCGCGAGCAAGCUUUGCU
rnacentral:antisense_RNA from 1 species